rnacentral:rRNA from 1 species
GACGAACGCUGGCGGCGUGCUUAACACAUGCAAGUCGAACGGAAAGGCCCUGCUUGCAGGGUCCUCGAGUGGCGAACGGGUGAGUAACACGUGGGUGAUCUGCCCUGCACUUCGGGAUAAGCCUGGGAAACUGGGUCUAAUACCGGAUAGGAGCCAUUUUUAGUGUGAUGGUUGGAAAGUUUUUUCGGUGUAGGACGAGCUCGCGGCCUAUCAGCUUGUUGGUGGGGUAAUGGCCUACCAAGGCGGCGACGGGUAGCCGGCCUGUGAGGGUGGACGGCCACAUUGGGACUUAGAGACGGCCCAGACUCCGACGGGAGGCAGCAGUGGGGAAUAUUGCACAAUGGGCGCAAGCCGGAUGCAGCGACGCCGCGUGGGGGAUGACGGCCUUCGGGUUGGAAACUCCUUUCGCUAGGGACGAAGCUUUUUGUGACGGUACCUAGAGAAGAAGCACCGGCUAACUACGUG